AUAUACUGGUUGAGUCCUUUUUUUUUCUUUUUGCGAACAGGUUACUGAGUCUUUUGAUGCAUGGAGAACUCUGCAACUGCAAUAUAAAUUUCUUUCAGGCAUUUAAUCCUCUCAGGAUGUGAACAGUUUAGGCUGAUGUACCAAUCUAUUUAAUGGUAUUUUUUCUAAAGCUGGUAAACGCCUUAUCUAUCACUCAAUAUUCCUCCCUAAAUUAUGUUGUGCUGCAUCAAACUACGUUCCACUUUCUUCACCUAUGUUCACCUGUUUUUGAAAUACGCAGUGCCUACUCAAGUGAUUUGCUGAAUUUUAUAGCUCGGCUGCAUCCAUGUCUUUUAGAAGUGGGAGACACAAUGUAGUAGCGCUAGCAUCUCAAGGUCCAGUUGCGCACACACACAUCUACAGAGUUAAAAGGAGGACCCUCUCAACAGUUCAGGGCUGCUUUUCUAGUCUCUGGGUGAGUGCCCGCAGCCAUUGCAGUAUUGCACUUGCACGCGUGCUCUGUCAGUCACGUCACUCGCUCGCAAGUCGCACCGGAGGACAAAGACAGACUGCACUGCAUUCGGAGCUGCACACAGCAAAUGAAACAAAGCUGUGGCUGUUACAAUGCCAAGACAGACUUGGCAUAAUGGCAUAUGGCAUGUUUGCAGCCACUGUCCUUACCCAGAUGAACUGAUGCUGAAGCUUGUAGACUGAGGCUAGCCUUUGAGCAGGUGAGAAAAUGAUUCCAAUAACAUCACUAGCUGGGGCCGUUUGUUGAAGUAAUUGAAGCCUGGAUUGGUUAAUGAUGAGAGUUGAUGCAUGCAAUUGCUUGGGUGUUUACACACUGUUUCUUGUGUUCUGAUUACAAAGUGGCUAGGUGUGAUUCCUGACAGGGUGUAGGAAAUCUUGUGUUUCUUUUAGGUGGUGCUGAGUUGUUAUAUAUGACAAAUAUAUUGGUCUAACCUGAUUGUCCGAACCUGCCUGGCCAUCAGGCUAUGUACUU